CCCUCUGAAACCUGUGUUCCUGAGCUUCACCCCACAGUCUCCAAGGUAAAAAACGUGAGCUUGCAUUAACUUCUUCAAACUUCUCUCUAACCCAGGAGUUUCCUCAAGCCUCCAGAAGGGACUCAGGAAAGCAUGGAUUCUGGCAAGAACUCAAUCAAGCAAUGGUCAAUUCACAUCAAGAGGUGAGAUACCUGGACAAUGGUAACACCCUACUGGCAUGCCUCUGCUCCAGGAAAACAGAGGCCCUUGCCAAUGUUCUCUCCUGGGAAAAUAGAAGCUCAGUAACUUGGCAAGAGAGUUUGGCAUCACUGAGAUCUUCAAGGAAUGGAAAGGAGGAAUCAACUGUCUGGCAAAUCUGGAAACAGGAACAGCCACCAAAGCAAACCUCACCUCAUUCUUGUUGGGAUAUGCCUGUGUCUGGUCUCCGCUCCACCAUGGGUUACAGGACUUUCCCCCUGAGAAGGAGACCUGCUAUUUCAGAGAGACAACUUUACUAGACAGGUUUCCCAAGUGAUGCAACCUGACAAGUUCUCCAAUCUGUAGAUGCCACUCAUCUUUACUGCAAUUAACUGCGGUCAAGGUACCAGGCUCAUGAAAUGAGAAAAGUCCUUUUUGUGAUCACUUCUGCCAUUAGGGGGAGGGACUUUUGGGAAGGGACAUGUUACCUCAGGAAUUUUCAAUUGAACAUGAUUCAUCAAUUUCACACAGAGACAUCAAGUCCAGGAAGAGAAGCUAACAAAUAAUCUUGCACUCAAGGAACUUAUCUUUGUCAACUCUGUGGUCCAAUUUCUCAUAGAUCUUAAUCAGCAGAAGGCCUUUAAUAAGUGAUUUGUGAAUGAAUGGAAAGUCUGGAUGAAGAAAUAUAUGCUGGAAUCAGUGGCUUUCGCAAGAGGAAGGUGGCAGUGUAUUAAGUACGAGGGAACUGUCUUUGGCAGAAGGCCAAUCCUUUGGGAAUGAGGUCUUCUUAAUGAAAAAUUCUGCAAACCUGUUUCAAUUCACACAUUCAUUCAACAAAUAGUUAUUGGGUGCCCUUUAAUGUUCUCAGGUCACCUUCCCAAAAUAACUGCAAUGAAAAUGUUUUCCACUUUUUCCUCUUCAUCUAGAAAGAUCUAUUUUAAACGAUGGGAUUGUGGAUUUGAGCACUGCUUUUUGAACACAGUCACGAAUCCAGGCAUUUGGUCCAGGCAGUGCCGGGAGGAGAAUGGGUAAUGAUUUUAACAGAGCCUGCUGCAAACGCCUACUCGUUCUUCCACAAGCAACUAAUCUUAGGUCUCAGCAAUGCAAUAUCCCAGUGAAUAGAGGGAUGAAAUGGACUAAGAGGUGAAAUGCUGCCAACAACAGAAGCCAGAAGUACCUCACUCUUCAAGGAUCUCUCACUGGUGUCAGCUUGGGUCAGAAUGGUGUUGCAGUGGGCUGGUGCUGGGUGCUACUCUGACCUCUUUGCCAGGGGCCAGGAUGAGAGCUGGUGCUGAUAGCUCUUAACGUAAUGCCUGGGCAAUUUCCUUUUGAAUAGAAAAGGAAAUGGGUGAAAAUGCUCUCAUAUGUGCUUUUAGUAAUGAUGUGCAGAGAAUUUUAAACAAGACUGUAAAGGUUUAACUUUAAUAAUUCAUCAAUCAAGACACCAACUACAUGCUUGGCAGUAGGUAAAGACCCAAGCGAAAUCAACACAGGACCCUGUCUUUAAAAGCUUUACAUUUUUACUGGUGGUUACCAAAGAAAAUGAUCAAUGGAUAAAAAGAAUCCAGAACAGAAAAAUGGUAUCAGUAUUGACGAGCAGAAGAGUAUAGCAGACAGGAAGGCAGACUGUGGAGGAAAGUGGCUGAGUAGCCUGGGUUCAAAUCUCAGCUCCAGCACUUAAUAACAAAAUAGACCAAGGCAGUUUAUUUAACCUUUGUGCAAUUUUCUCAUUUAAACUAUGAGAAUAAUAUGAGUACUUCAAAUCAGAACAGAUGAAGUGUUUAGAAAUGUGAGUAGCAUGUGGUUAGGAAUGACUGUUAGCUAUUAUUAGGGCAAUUGAGAUGUAGAGGGAUAUUAUUUUGGUUGAUUAUUUUUUCUCAUCAAAUAGUCUUCCUGUAUCAUUAUCUUCCUGUUAGAAUUUGGUUGAUCUGAGGAACUUUACUGAGUUAACAUAAUCUGUUAUGGUACAUCAAGACCACUGGUCUGGAAUUCUGGCAGCAGGGAUUCACUAUCUCCAUGGCCUCCAGAUAGAUGAAGAGUUGU